GAGGUCUCUACCCACUCAUUGCCUUGUCUCACCAGCUGGUGUUGACCAUAACUGUUAGCAUUUAGUUUUGCACACAUUUCAUUUUGAACACAACAUGUUCUAAGCAUAGGAGGUGAUUUGGGGAUUUAGCACAAAGUGCCACCAGCAUGCUGCAGACACUCCAGCUCUCUUUCUCAUCAGAUUCAGCUGGGUUUCUAUGGAAGAAGAGCUCUCGCCUUUUGAAGUGUGGUCCUGAUGCCUUGACUCAAAGUUGCAAACCCACCAUGGCUGUCCUCCAUUCAUAGGUCACAAGAAUGACUGUUAUUUCCUAUCCAACAGAUGUGGGGCCUCCAGAAUAUCUAGACCACUUCCUUCCUGAUGCAGCAAAGCUGUCCAAUGACACUUAUUGUCAAUCUAGGGUCCUGAAGGGAGAUUCUAUCUUGCAUCAAGUUAUUCCAAACCUAUACCCCUGCUCAAGAACUAAUCUCUGACCUGACAUGUGAGAAAGCAGUUUUCAACAUUGAUCUUUUGAUAAACUUUCACCCCUAACUUCUUAUCUCUUUUUCUCAGUCUCCAGGUUUUAAGCUUGAAACUCUGCUUCUGUCACUGACAUUGUUUUUGUUUAUUGGAACUGUCUGGUCACUCCGUCUGUCAUAUUUAGGUGAUUACUCUGUGCCCUGCAUUGGCCUUACACAGCAAAUGUACAGGAUACCUUUUUAUUUUAUUUUUAAAGGCAGUUUCUCCUCACUCCUAUCAGAAAACAGCAGCGCGCAUUGCCAAAAGAAGAAAAAAGAACAAAUAAACAAUAUUGAAUUGAA
rnacentral:lncRNA from 1 species